rnacentral:rRNA from 1 species
AGACCUUACCCGGGCUUGACAUGCCGGUGGUAGGGAGCGGAAACGCUUCCGACCUUCGGGAGCCGGCACAGGUGCUGCAUGGUUGUCGUCAGCUCGUGCCGUGAGGUGUUGGGUUAAGUCCCGCAACGAGCGCAACCCUUGAUCUUAGUUGCCAGCAUUUAGUUGGGCACUCUAAGGUGACUGCCGGUGACAAACCGGAGGAAGGUGGGGAUGACGUCAAAUCAUCAUGCCCCUUAUGACCUGGGCUACACACGUGCUACAAUGGAUAGUACAAAGGGUUGCAAGACCGCGAGGUGGAGCUAAUCCCAUAAAACUAUUCUCAGUUCGGAUUGUAGGCUGCAACUCGCCUACAUGAAGCCGGAAUCACUAGUAAUCGCGGAUCAGCAUGCCGCGGUGAAUACGUUCCCGGGCCUUGUACACACCG